AUUGAACGCUGGCGGCAUGCUUUACACAUGCAAGUCGAACGGCAGCGCGGGCUUCGGCCUGGCGGCGAGUGGCGAACGGGUGAGUAAUGCAUCGGAACGUGCCCAGUAGUGGGGGAUAGCCCGGCGAAAGCCGGAUUAAUACCGCAUACGACCUGAGGGUGAAAGCGGGGGACCGAAAGGCCUCGCGCUAUUGGAGCGGCCGAUGUCGGAUUAGCUAGUUGGUGGGGGAAAGGCUUACCAAGGCGACGAUCCGUAGCUGGUCUGAGAGGACGACCAGCCACACUGGGACUGAGACACGGCCCAGACUCCUACGGGAGGCAGCAGUGGGGAAUUUUGGGCAAUGGGGGCAACCCUGAUCCAGCCAUGCCGCGUGCGAGAAGAAGGCCUUCGGGUUGUAAACCGCUUUUGUUCGGGAAGAAAUCCUCUGGGCUAAUACCCCGGGGGGAUGACGGUACCGGAAGAAUAAGCACCGGCUAACUACGUG
rnacentral:rRNA from 1 species